UAGAAACACUUGCAUGCAGACUCUCUGCCCUCGUUCGCCUGCCGCCACCCUUCGUCCCUUCGCCACCGCUGCUCCAUGCCUUUGCCGCUGCCCUCGCCCAUCAAAGCCGCCGCCCUCCAUUGGACGAUCCACUUCAGGAGACGCCGCCGACCCCGUUCAGGACCAGCCGCCGAUCACGUCCAGGAUCUGACGCUGUUCCCCUUCAGAAGCCGCACGCCACCGCAGAUCCAUCCCCUGAAAAAUCGAGACUCUUGAGAUGGGCGAUCGAGAGGGGAUCAAAAGGAGUAACUUUCACCUGCGGCCGCAAAGGGCCUUUACACCGCCGCCGAGAGCCGUGCGCGGGUGGUGCGCUGUGAGCGGCCGAUGGCCGCCGCUUUAGUAGCCCGCCAAGGGCUGUCGUCGUGCAUUGGCUGUGUGCCGACUCGAACCAAGGAGUCGGCCAUGGUCGAGGGCCAAGGCGAGCGCGGCCGUGGGGACUGUCGAGCGAGCGAACGCGCGCGUGCCUGAGGGCGGCCGCUGCUUGCGCUGCAAUGGCGAGAGCGAAAGGAGGAAGAGGAGACCCCUGGUGGCGCGGACAUCCAACGACCCGAACAUCGUUCUCCCGUGACGUCCUCCUCCAAGCCCGAAUCCAGUGCCUCCUCAAGGUUCGUGGUACUUGUGAGGAGCCUCCUACUGGAUUGAUACCUUGGUUCUCAAAAAACUAAG